GCCAUCAUUGUACUCACGCAGGAUCUUGGGAGUGGUCUUAUGGUCUUUGUCUGAGAACAAAUGAUAUAAGGUCUCUAUCAAUACUAGUGGCUCUACAUUGUCAUCAUUGCAUCAUUGUACCACUAACAUUCUCAGAGUUAGAAAGCACAGUUGGAGUUAACAUGAGGGGAACUUUGGUGUUCCUUUUAGCAGUGUUUGGAUGCUGUUGUACAGUUAAAUGUGGAAUUGUGUCCAAAUGUGAACUGUGGAGCCUGAUGUCGAAGGAGGCCGAGCAAGCUGGGAUGACUGAGAACUUUGUAGCUAAGAUUGUUUGUCAUGCAGAGCUAGUAUCGGAUUUUAACACCAAUGCGGUGAAGGAACUGGUUUGUGAGACGAACCCUCAAGAACAAACGGAUCCACAGCAGCCUUCUCCCCAGCCCCACCUUCAACACAGCUGUGAGGACAGCGAGGAGAUGGGGACACUCUAUGGCCUUUUCCAGCUCAGCAGUAAACUCACCUGCAGUGAUGGAACUAAUCCAUCACCAAACAUCUGUAACAUUGACUGCGAAGAUUUGCUCGAUAACAACAUAGAUGAUGACUUUCAAUGUCUGCUGACAUUCUUCAGACAUCUUGUUAAAAAUGCCUUUGGAACAGCCGACUCAAAAGGAUUACAAAAAAUGUUUCAAUUCAUCAUGCAGGAAGAGUGCAGGAACGUGGAGUACUCUGAGUACUUCGCUGAAUGUUUGAGAAAUGAUUAAUUUUCUCCAUUACAUUUUAUUAAAACUUUUAUUUUACAUUUCCAGCCACAUCAAUAGCUAGAUAAAUAAAUUACCUAUUGAUGUAAAAAGCA
rnacentral:lncRNA from 1 species